UAGUAGGCCUAUCUUCACCUGGUACAAUCUGUACGCGAGUUGUAGUUACUAUAGACAGCGACCACAGAUGCUGUAAAGGUUUAUAGUCAACGCUUAUUCAAAUCCCCCAAAACAGUGUAACUCUGACUGUUGUUCUGUUUCUGGCCGAGGUUCUUUGUCGUCACCCGCCAAAUGUUCUGCCAUAACAUGCACUGUUGAGCUCAGCGCAGACAGAAGGACAUUGUAACCCUAAGAACAGGAAAGACGGACAGCAUGAGAACUCUGCUACUCAACAUAAUUACCAUGAACGUCAUCUUGAUUAAAGCGUCUCCACAGCACAAGGUGGACCAGACUCCAGCAGCCGUGCUGGAAGAGCAGAACAGCAGCAGAGUAAACCUGUCCUGCAAGCAUCAAA